AUGCAACCCGAACCAGCUGAUCCAGUCUCAUCUUCUUGCGCAUCUCUUCUACGUGGACAUUUCUUGAGUAGCUACAGCCUUUUAUUUUUGAAAUGUUUCAGUAGCUAUAGCUGGAUCCUCGAAGAGAUCUUCCAGGUAGUGGGGAUGGAUGAGCGUCCAAGGGUUGUGGACGUGUACAUGCACCUCGAUUGCUAUAGUUACAAGGCAUGCAUCGAAACUCUUCGUGCGCAGCUCGCCAAGCACCCAGAACACGAGGGCAACAUCUCCGACUACGGUGACUGGAUCAAAGAUCAUCCUCUGCUCCCCACGGAAGAAUCCUGUCAGCCGAAGAGGUUGAUGCACGUUCAUUUAAUAACGGAGGCGACAAGGAAGACAACCCUGGCCAUCCGGGAUGACAACAUGUACCUGAUUGGUUUCAGUAACGGGAGUGGGAAGUGGUACGAGUUCGGUGUGAACAAUGGCAAACAGGUGCCCUUCCUAACCGAGUCCACCUUUUUAGGGUGCGAGUCUGACUAUGGAUCCUUACUUGCCGGCAAGGGGAAUGAGGCCAAUAGGUGCCUGGGUGGAGUGAAGCUGGGGUUAAGACGUGCGCAACAAGCCGCGUGUCACCUGUCGUCCUACAACCAGGGGGCGGACGCAAUUGCUGGCACAGAAACCAAAAAACAUUUGCUGUGCUUGAUUAUUAUGAUCAGCGAGGGUGCUCGGAUGUUUCCGCACUACGACAGAGUCAUAGAUGGUCGGAGCACAGAGAUAUUUCUCGACGAUCGCGAGGUAAAACUUGUGAAUGAAUGGAGCAGCAUUUCAAAGGCAAUGAUAACGGCCAAGUAUUCCAAAACUCUGACAGAUCUGCAGAUUGAGGACCUAACCAGCGCAUGCCGUGUAGUUUGCCUGCUGAAAAAGUCAUCACAGCUGAAGAAAGCCCAAGAAAAGCAGCAGCUUCCGUCAUCAGAACAUGGCCAGGAAAAAGGAUCCCGGGGGCGGGGGCGGGGCCGGGGCCGGGGCGAUGGCCGUAAAGGUGGACGUGGAGGCCGCCAUGUCCCGAAGGAGUCAAAGGACCAGGAGCCACCGAAAUCAGAACAUGGCACACGGCAACAGCAGCAGGACGAGGAGGAGGCGCCCCUGACUUCUCCAGAACAAGGCCCACCGCAGCAGGAGGUGGGGGAGCAGGAGCAGGAGGGGGUGUUAAGGGAGGAAGAAGAGGAAGAUGAGCAGGAGCAGGAGCAGGAAUAUGACGACGAGGAUGGCGAUGACAACCACAACGAUGAUGAUGAUGAUGAUGAUGAUGAUGAUGAUGAUGAUGAUGAUGAUGAUGAUGAUGAUGGGCAAUUCCUGAUGGAGGUGUUUUCUGUGCGUGCCAACUCAGGCUUGGUCAGCAACAUCGCCGUCUUCGACGGGAAACGCGGCCAGAUCAUCUACAACCACGACGGACAAGGAGACGCUACAAUCGACUCUGAGGAUACUAAUUUGCAACUGACUGGACCAUAUAGAGCCAUCUCAGCUGAUGGACGCGUCGCUAUUCAAGUUACCAGCAUCCCCGCAACAGAUGCCUCUGACCAAUCCAGCAGUGUGCAAUGGGCCACCCUGUGGGACGGCUACGCCGACGACGCUGUGCAUGACAAGCUCUUGAUGGAGACCAUCGCCACAGGGACCAGCACGAAGGCGGUGGUGACCUACGUGGUGCUGAGCAACGCCAUAGAGGCCACCGUGCAGGUCCAGCUGAAGCUGAAUACAGUCACAACCGACGGGGUCCGCAUCAACGGCCAAAUCACCGCAAAAAUCGAACAAUUCAGCGACGAGAGCGUACUCUUCAGACAUCCUCAUAACGAAGAAGUGGAGUUACUCCCCUCGUCCGAUGGCUUAACAAUUCCUGUUCCACUGGCAAGGUCUGUCGUUGCGGUGCCACUCUACUCACCGCUCGUGGUAAAUGUCAAGCUUUACGUGGCAAUUUCUCCCAACCAUAAGGAUAUGGUAUUCUAUGAAAAAAAUCUUGUUUUCGACCCCCGUACGAUCUCGGACAAGAUCGAAUGGCCCGGUGUGCUUGUUCAAGUGACGAUCACCUCGGAGGACAUCCAACAUCCCCAAGAACGAAGCAACGCAACACCCGUUGCAGCACCAUCGACAAGCACUCCUUUGCAGCCUACGACUUCGGUUCCAGACAACCCACCAAGUAUACUAAAUACUACUACAGGCAAAGAUCCCAGACCCUCGAGUGUUAAUGAAGGCAUGUUGAUCGACACAGCAGAGGAUGGGCCAAAAUCUGAGGGUUUGUCACCGAUGCCUUUGGACCGGAGUACAGUCACUCAGAAUUAUCAAGAGGGAGGAAAGGCAUCCAUUGAGAUACAAGAAGCACCUGACACAGCCAUUGAUACUACGGCACCCACAACUCCAGCACCAGUUGUGAGCUACAUCCCUAAAGCUACAACCAGGACAGAAUGGAAGGGGGACCUGCUGGUUGAGGUUGCCUUGGUCAAGUGCGUGUUGGAGGGUGCACUGACAAAGGCCAAGUCAACGAUCGCAAAGGAGACAAAACUGCAGCAGAGGGCACUGCGUGACCUGACCUUCAUCAUUGGCGAGUUACAGAACAUGAAGUCCUCGCUCGACGUCGUGAACGAAGAAAGCGUCAAGAACAGUCUAGUGAAGUCCUGGGUGAUGCAGAUUGAGGAACUAGCCUACUACGUGGAUGGCCGCAUGGAACUUAUUCUGGAGAUGGACAAGGAGUCCGGACGGUUGCGUCGUCGGUUGUUUCGUCACUUGUCGGAGAUGGUCCCGACAGUUGCUCGUCGGUUGUUUCCUCACUGGUCGGAGAUGGUCCCGACAGUUGCUCGUCGGUUGUUUCCUCACUUGUCGGAGAUGGUCCCGACGGUUCCUCGUCGGUUGCGCUGCAUGUCUCGGACGACGCUGCGACUUAAGGACGGAAUCGCGGAGAUAAAGCUGCUCAAGGGUAUGAUCGAAGACGUGAGCAGGAGGAACGCACCCAACAGCCUCGCGGGCCUCUUCAGAGUCGUCUCUAGUUCCAACAACAAGACAGACGGCGUGCAGCAACAGCAGACCGUGCGCACUGUAACAGUCGUCAAUGGCGCACCAGAGCUCUAUAUGCUACUAGAGGGAAGUGAUGCGACCACAACGCAGCAAGGCGACCUCACCCAGUUGCUUACCAAGAGAGAUGACGACCUUCAAGUCAUCUCACUGUGUACAAGAGGCGAUUUUGGGAGUAUAUCCAUCAUCAGGAAGUCCUACAGUGACCCCCAAGUCUGCCAUAAUUUCGGAUGCCGCGCCUGGGUGAAGCUCACGCAGCCUUUUAAUCCCCAAGAGUUCGUCCGGUGCUUGAUGUCCCAGUUCUACACAAACAAUUGCGAAGAAGAGGGUUUAAUCACAGGCAUGGAAGUACUAAUGAAGAUGGAAGAACUAAUGAAGAUGGAAGAUAAAGCUACUCAUGUUAUGAAAGGUGGUCUGUUAGAAGAGUUCGCUCAAAAAGUCAGCAAUAAAAGGUAUCUGGUUGUCCUGGAGGACCUGUCCACGAUGCCAGAGUGGGAUGCUAUCAGAACAUUCCUUCCAGACAGGAAGAAUGGCAGCACAAUCAUCGUGUCGUCGCAGAAAUUUGAAGUAGCAAGCUUGUGCGUAGGACAGCCACACCAAGUAUUCGAUCUGAUGCAGUUACCUACUAAGCACGCUGUUCAUGCCUUCCUCAAGGGUCGUCGGACUGGUGAUAGAUAUGAAGGUGGCCUUCCUGUUUCUUCUACCGACAAAACCCUCCGCCCAGAAAAGGAUGCAGCCAGUGACUUGAUGCAUAGAUAUUCCCUAGUUGGACGUGAGACAGAAAUGGGUGAACUUGGUAAAUAUCUAGCUGAGGCACGUUUGAACUCUUCCCCGGUUGUUAUGUCCGUGUGGGGGAUGCCAGGCGUUGGUAAAUCAGCUCUGGUCAGACGCCUGUACCGCAACGAAAUGCUUGAUCGCCGCCGCCUAUUUGAGAAGUACAGAUGGGUGGAUGUAUCUCAUCCUUUCAGUUUAAGAGAUUUCUCUCGGAGCUUACUGAAGGAUUUUCAUCCAGAAAGAGACCCCAUUCAAGAGUGUCAGCAGCUUUUGGUGCAAUAUCAAUGCCUCAUUGUUAUUGAUGAUCUCCAGACCAAAGAAGAAUGGGAUCUGAUACGAGCUGCCUUGCUAUCUACACCCUGUCAGAGUGUUAUCAUUGUGAUUACGACGGAAGCAAGCACCGCCACAUAUUGUGCACAUGACCCAGAGGUCGUGUAUAAUGUCAAGGGUUUAGAAGACGAUGCGGCCUAUGAUCUCUUUACAGAGAAGUGUUCAUCACUUCAUCAAAAUAAUGAAGUGGUACGUCACGAUCCGGCAGUGGUACGAGAACUUAUUCUUAAAUGUGGCGGACUUCCUAAAGUAAUCGUUGCUAUAGCUGUUUUGUUGAGUACCAAGACAAUCAGUUGGAUGGAAACUGCGAAAAUUCUCAAUGAUAAAUUUAUGAAACAUUUAGAGGCCAACCCGGAGUUUGAUGGACUAGAGAAACUAUUCAGUUGGAUGCGUUCCAGCUUCUAUACAGGCCCAGAUAUUCUCAAGCCAUGUAUUUUCUACCUGCCAAUCUUUCCUGGAAACUACAUUAUUCGUCGGAGGCGACUAAUAAGGCGGUGGAUUGCAGAGGGUUACUCCAAGGACAUCAAUGAAAGAUCAGCAGAGGAGGAAGGAGAGAAUUUAUUCUCCAUGCUCCUUGAUCUGAGCAUAGUCCAGCAAGUACCACAGUCAGUCAGCAUUGUAUUCAAUGACAGUAAGAUGGUCUUGUGCCAGGUCAACAGUUUUAUCCAUGAGUACAUUAUCUCACGGCAAAUGGAAGAGAACCAUGUAUUUGUGCUGGGGGGUAGUAGUACCCUGACAACUGAACGCACAGGGCGUCAUCUUGUCAUAUUGGAGUCUUGGGACAGAGACAAAGAUGUAUUUCAGCGCAUUGAUUUCUCACGGCUGCGGUCGAUGACUGUGUUUGGAAAGUGGGAAUCAUUCUUCUCGCUCACAAUGUUUGGAAAGUCGAUUCAGGUUCUUGAUCUGGAGGGUGUAUCUGGUUUGAAGGAUGAAGAUCUUUUUAAGAUAGUGAAGCGGCUGCGCAGCCUCAAGUUUCUCUCCUUUCGAGGAUGCAGUGACAUCCACCAUCUACCAAGUUCGUUAGGUGAUCUGAGGCAUCUGCAGACUUUGGAUGCCAGAUACACCUCCAUAGUGUCACUGCCUGCAAGCAUCACCAAGUUACAGAUGCUGCAGUAUAUCCGUGUCGGCACCAGGUCAUCCAGCAGGUUGCCAGAGCCCCGCAGACGUCGUUGUGUAUUUGGUGUUGUGGUGCCUAGAGGGAUUGGAAAAUUGACAGCGGUGCACACGCUCGGUGUUGUCAAUGUCAGCGCUUCAGGAGGGAAGGCCAUUGUGGAAGAACUCAAGAAGCUCACCCAGUUGCGCAAGCUCGGGGUGUCCGGCAUCAACAGGAAGAACGGGAAACGGUUCAUCUCUGCAAUCUCAGGUCAUGUCCAUCUAGAAUCCUUGUCAGUGUGGCUCGAAAAAAAUAACGAAAGCUGCCUGGAUGACGUCCUCUUGCCUUGGGAGAACCUUCGGAGCGUGAAACUGUAUGGGCUUGGAAAAAUGUUGCCAGCACCAGGGAGGCAUCUUAGCUGGGUCAAGCUCAGGAAGUUGGAAUUGGAGAUGGCCAUUUUAACAGAAGACAGCAUGAGAUUCCUAAGCUCGCUACCACAACUAUGCAUUCUUCGUAUCAAGCUGCUUCAUAACCACGAGCUCCAUUUCCGUGUUAUGGUGCCUGGAGAAGAGGAAGAUUCUUAUAAAAAGGUCAAGGUCCUCCAGAUUGGUUGCGGUUUGAGCAACAGCAGAUUAGAUGUGACUUUCGGUUCAAAAGCAAUGAGAAAACUUGAGCUGCUCAAGAUUGACUGCUUCAGUGGGUCACCGGUAUACAAGUUCACUGGCCUAGGGAAUCUAGGAGAACUGAAGCAAGUCUUACUACCUGGCAAUUCCCACGCCCAAGCACUAAAAGAGCAACUUGAGAGCCAGUUUGCCGAGCAUCCAAACUUAGUGAAACCUGUUGUGAAGCUGGAAGAACCACCACUCUCGUCCUGA
rnacentral:rRNA from 1 species